rnacentral:lncRNA from 1 species
CAAAGAUAUAUAACAUUUACAAAUCUAUAUAAAAAUUCAAAAAAGAUUGUAAUAAAUCACUAACGAAAACUAGAGAGUAUAUAUUAAAAAAAUGUUGUAAAUUAUUGAAAAUUAGUUUCCAGAUUUUUAACAAACAAAAUAAAAACCAACAUCAAAAUAAAAAAUAUGUUGUGUAUCUUCAAUGCAGAAAUACACAUGCAACAAUUUUGGGAAACUCAUCCUCUUAUUUUUUGUCUAAAUUGUAGCUAAUGCCCUUUAAAAUAUUUCACUUCAUAAGUUGAGAAAAGUCUCUUUAUUAAGGUGAGGUGAGUGAUACUAUCCUCAGCAUGCAUUUCUAAAACUAGAGGCUCUAAAGAGCCUGUGUCGCUCACCUUGGUCUAUGUGCAUAUUAAACAAAGGACACAGAUGGAUUCAUGACAAAAUUGUGUCUUGGUAUUGGUGAUGUGUUUGUAGAUUGAACAAUCUUGCUGCUUACAACUAUUUCUAUCUAUAAUGAAAUUGGCCCAGAAGUGACAGUGGAAAAUAUUUUGUAAAAAUCUACAAAAUUUGUUAAAAGUUGACUAUAAACAUGAUAAAAGACAAUAACUCCUUAAGGGGUCAAUUGACCAAUUUGGUCAUGUUGACUUAUUUGUAGCUCUUACUUUGCUGUACAUUAUUGCUAUUAACAGUUUAUCUCUAUCUAUAAUAAUAUUCAAGAUACAUUUGUAAUAACCAAAGGCUGCAAAUUUUCUUAAAAUUCCCAACUCAGGGGCAGCAGCCCAACAACAAGCUGCCCGAUGGGUCUGAAAAUUUCAGGGCAGAUAGAUCUUGACCUAAUGAACAAUUUUAUUCAACAUCAGAUUUGCUCUAAAUGCUUUGGUUUUAUAGAUAUGUGCCAGAAACUGCAUUUUACCCUAUGUACUAUUUUUAGCCAUGUCGGCCAUCAUGGUUCAAGGGCGGGGUCAUGGGACACAUUUUUUAACUAGAUACCCUAAUAAUGAUUGUGGACAAGUUUUGUUAAAUUUGUCUAAGUAGCUUCAGAGGAGAAAAUUUUUGUAAAAGAUAACAAAAAUUUACAAAAAAUAGUUAAAAAUUGGCUAUUACUCCGGGGUCAACUGACCAUUUUGGCCAUCUCAACUUAUUUGUAGAUCUUACUUUGCUGAACAUUAUUGCUGUUUACAGUUUAUCUCUAUCUAUAAUAAUAUUCAAGAUAAUAACCAAAAGUGGCAAAAUUUCCUUAAAAUUUCCAAUUUAGGGGCAGCAACCCAACAGCAGGUUCUCCGAUUCAUCUGAAAAUUUCAGGGCAGAUAGAUGUUGACCUGAUAAACAAUUUUACCACUGUCAGGUUUGCUCUAAAUGAUUGGUGUCAGAGAUAUAAGCCAAAUCUACAUUUUACCCCAUAUAUUCUAUUUUAGCCAUGACGGCCAUCUUGGUUGGUUGGUUGGUUGGCAGGGUCACCAGACACAUUUAAUAAACUAGAUACUACAAUGAUGAUUGUGGCCAAGUUUGGUGAAAUUUGGCCCAGUAGUUUCAGAGGAGAAGAUUUUUUAAAAAGUUAAUGACGUCGGACGACGACGACAAUGGACGACGGACGCAAAGUGAUGAGAAAAGCUCACUUGGCCCUUCGGGCCAGGUGAGCUAAAAAUGAAGAUGCAAUCAUCUUAACAAGUGAAAUAAGAGUGUAAGGGGAAAUAAUAGAAAUCACACAUUCCCCACUGUUCACACAUCAGCAAAAAAAUAUUUGUUACAAAUGUAAUAAACCAUUAAUUGAAUCCUAACAAAGAUACAUAAAUACUUCAUAUAAAAUACAAUGCUACAAGAUAUAUAUUUUUUACUAUUUUAUAAAUGAAAGACUGAAAGCACUAAAUUGCACUUACAAAAGCAUUAAAUGGCACUGAGUCACAAAGGUAUAUUACACUUUAAACUUAUACAAUUAAACAAUUCAAAAACUUUAACCACAGAGUGAAUAUUUGUGGACGCCUCCAACGACGAUGCCAACAGAAUGUAGGAUCGCUAUGUCUUGCUUUUUCGACUAAAGUCGAAGGCUUGACAAAAAUGGAUAAAUCAAAAUCAAAUGAUAUUUUUUACAUAUAAUGUAUAUUUAGUGAUUCUUCAGGUAAAAAUAUUUGUAAAUCCAUAGCUAAAUGCAAACGAGGAACAACUGACAAAAAAGAAAA